GUUUGGAGAGACACGGGAGGGGAAGCUACUUUGGGCGCACCAUUUCCUCAUUGAUCUGCUCCUGGGUUUGUAUUUUGCAGUUCCUACUGAGCUGCCUGGUCUGCAUUGUGAAGCUCACAGAUGCGGAGCUGGUUUGUCAUCCAAUCGAAAUUCCUGAGGCCAGACAACACAAGGUCACCAAUGAAGAUUGUGUCUUGACAGGCCUCUCGGGGAAGUGAAAAUCACCAGGCUUUGAUUUGCACCCAUGGUCGUUGCAGGCUCCAAAAGAUGUCAUUGUUAGAUACUUCCUGUGUUUUCCUUCAGAGUCACAAUACGUCAGGCUCAGCUAAAUGAAGAACUAAAUUAAAACUGUCAUUUCAGCUCAUAAAUAACAGAUGUCUAAUGCAUUUAAUUAUUUAUAGUCUUGAAUCUUUCAAAAAUGAAAAUGACUAUACACAUUUUUAAUGCAGCUCUUGGUAAUUUGCUGCCUGACUGAUAAGAUGUGCCGAUAAUCCUAGCUUGCAAACAUGAAAAAUAAAACUGAGACUGA
rnacentral:lncRNA from 1 species